rnacentral:rRNA from 1 species
UCAGGCCUAACACAUGCAAGUCAAAAAGCAGCGGGAAAGUAGCUUGCUACUUUUGCCGGCGAGCGGCGGACGGGUGAGUAAUGCCUGGGAAAUUGCCCAGUCGAGGGGGAUAACAGUUGGAAACGACUGCUAAUACCGCAUACGCCCUACGGGGGAAAGCAGGGGACCUUCGGGCCUUGCGCGAUUGGAUAUGCCCAGGUGGGAUUAGCUAGUUGGUGAGGUAGUGGCUCACCAAGGCGACGAUCCCUAGCUGGUCUGAGAGGAAGAUCAGCCACACUUUUUUUGGGAAACGGUCCAGACUCCUACGGGAGGCAGCAGUGGGGAAUAUUGCACAAUGGGAGAAACCCUGAUGCGGCCAAGCCGCGUGUGUGAAGAAGGCCUUCGGGUUUAAAGCACAUGAGCGAGGAGGAAAGGUUGAUGCCUAAUACGUAUCAACU